rnacentral:lncRNA from 1 species
AAGUGAUGAAGAUGAUACUGUUUGCAGCAGUUUUAUAACUCCUGGCUGAACUGGAGAUUAAACUUUAGGAAGAUGUUUCAAGAGUGAUUGGAGUUCUGAAGAGUGAUGACUCUGUUGCACCCCUUGCUAAAAAUGAAGCUGUUACAUGCAUGCUUUCUUCUGCUUGGAUGUACUUGCCAGCAUCUGCUGCUGUGAGAAGCUGAAGUCGCUGAUGGUGAGGCUAAAUUAAACCUCUCCAAUGAGUGUGUUGAGGGGGCAUAAAGCAACAUCUGCAAGGUGGCUUUGGGGUAAGAGUAACUGACCCUCAAGCUAAUGUCCCCUGCUUAGGGCUUUGUUGCCUUGGGAGCACAGCAGCUGCACAAAAAUGAGACUUGGAGACCCUGGUUUUCUUUGCAAUAUCCUUUAUUUACACUACAUAUGUAUUUUUGUAGGUAUGCUCCCCCUAAACCCCACCUGUGAGGACCAGUGGCUGCCUGCUGCUCUACACUUCUGAAUAUUAAGCAGCUUCCUAAAAGCAAUGAGGCUGUUAUGGCUGAACAGCUUCACCAUGUGCAGGCUGCACAGAUAUCCAGCAAAGAAAUCAAAGGAAUGAUGUCACCAGUAUGUCUUAUCUAAAAUUAAAUAUCUGUUUUAAGUCCACAGAUACAUAGAGACUUUGUAUUAGAAACAUAUACUGAGAGUUCAAACUCUGAGUCAUCUCAUAUAUAUUUCACUCAAGCCAAGGGAAUAGCAGUGAGAAUAGACCUGCAAAAGAGCAAUUCUCUAUUCUAGCAAGAUGAGGGAGAAAAAAUGUUCAGGGAAAAUACUAACCGGUUCACAAGCGAAAAAAUCUUGCCAAUGAAAUUGUGUCUCUAAUACGCUGUGCCUUUGCAGUAAAGUCAUGAUUUGCUGUGGAAAAUGCAGCAGAGAAUAAGUGGGCCAGCUUGUGCUCAUUAAUGGCAGAGACAGAGUAAGUGGCAUUUAAAACAAGUCCACUCCGAGGGAAAGUGAGAAUUGUUUAUUCUGAAGGCAUCAAAUGUUUGUUGUCACAAUUAGAUUUCAAGAGCAACUCGCAAUGCUUUGGGGUGCCGUUGUCCAGGCAGGGUUUAGCCAAGCUCUGGAUGUCCUGGAGCCGAGGGCUGCAUUUCUGCUGCUACUCUCCACUGUGUUACAAGGAUGUGCUGAUGGCCACUGCUGUGCCCUUUCUAGCACAUGCCACAAGUGUUCCAGCCCAGUCAUCAGGAGCUAAAGUGGGAGAUGUGAUGCUGGAAAUUAUUUGGCCCCACCUAAGGGGUAAAUUGUGCCAGGCUCUGUGUCAGCAGCUGUACUUGGGUGCAGUGAACAUCUGUGGUCAGGAGCACUUGUAAUAUCCCUCUACCUUUUGUCUCCUUAUUAUUGCUGUAAUGGGCCCUAUGUAGUCCCCAGUCCCGUGGUGGUUCAUCUUCCCUCAUUUGUCUCAGGCUGUUCUGCUGAUUUUCUUCCCAGCUGGGUAGGCUCAUGUGUUGGGGCUACACCUUAUCUCCUAAAUAGUUUUCUCCAAGGUAGAUAAAGAUGUUCCCUACUCUACAAAAAGGGCUUGUCUUCUCCUGUGAGCAAUUCCAGUCAUGAAGGAGUGGUGCACUGGGUUCUCCUGGAUUCUGGUGGUGCUGCCCAUACAGGAAGGCAUGGGGCAGGAGGAAGCACGGAGGCAUUUCUGGAGUCACAGUGGAAAAAAUGUUGCACUAGGCUGUUCUCCAGCUUUUACUGGAUUAUAGCCCAGACCUAAGACCCAACAGAUGCACUGUCAGGUAUGAAGUAUUGGCCCAAAAUUAGUGCUGGCUCUGUCAUGGGAACCAAUUCCCCUCUCUAAUGCACAGUUGUUGCAUUGCAUAAAAAUCAUUAUUACACAUUGUGAAAUCUAAUUACAUUAUUGCACACUGUGUAUACACUCUAAUAAAGGCAGUGGAAGCAAUAACACUGCUAGUAAUACACCAUUCCACUGAAAUUGCUAUUGCUGUCAAUUUUACAUUCAUUUUUUCUUGAUUUAACCUGAAGAGCAAGGCUCUCAGCCUGCUUGCUUUGGCAGGUAGAUGCUAAGUGUCAAGACUUUACAAGGGCUGCAGAACCCCACAGCUCCUAUUGCAGUAGGGAGCAUGUGAGGGAACUGCCGUGUCCUAACUCUGAUACCCAGUGGUGAGAGCAGUCCUUCCUGAGGGUUACAAUGCUGUCUUGAGAUGGGUCCAAAGCCAGCUGGGCUCAAUUUCCCUUGAAAGUGCCCCUUUUCCCCAUUGAUUGUAUAGCCUCGGGCACCUGUGCUCUUAGAUGUCUAAAACCAGAUGGAGUCCAAUGCCUCCACCUCUCUGUUCUGGUGUGUAUGAGGAAGAGGAGGAUAGAUGGUCCUUUAUCAUAAUUCAGAGAUAGAUAUUUGCCAGUAAUGAGCUGAGAGGGAUUAGGGCUCAAAAAGGUUUUCAGUUCUCUGCUCCCCCACCAUUAACUUCUCAUUGUAAAGCUUGUGUGAUGAAUAUGAACUUAUGCCAGCCUGCUGGUGUCUUGCAUUCUGCUCUCCUUGCAAAGCUGUCACACAAGCACUUUUUAGUAGUGGAAGAGAUGAAGAGGUGCUCCUUGAGGACCUUAACCUGAAGCAGUGCUCCUUAAGGGCCUCUUCAAGGAGGUAGGUGCAGUUACCAACCACUGCAAUACUGUUUUCAAUGUUCCCUGAACCCAUCAGCUGAAGAAAUCACAUUGGGAGUCAAGGAGAGAGUUGUAGGGGUUGUGUUCAUCUUCUGAACAUCCCUUCUUUUCAAGUGUGGCAAAUGAGCCCAGGGUUCAGCCUCUGAAGAAAGGAAAAGGAAAGACGUCAAACCACGGAUUGAGGAAAAGUAAGACUUUGUAUUUCUUUCCUAGACAGUUUCAGACACUGAAAGCUGCUGUUCCCAUCACAACCUCUUCUGAAGAAGAUAGCUUGAGCCUGCAGUGUUUCAGUGUGUCUUUACUUCUAAAUGAAAUGGGAUACCAGAAGCUGGUCCCCAAACAACAGCUAAGCAUUUACAGGAGAAAAAAUCUGGUACUGCUUGAGCCUCCUGUAAUGCCUUUUUGCCAGGCCAAAGGCUGUCCAGGGUCCUGUGCUGGAAGCCAAGCACAGUUGGGUCAUCGUUUUUCCUAAAGUGCCAAGGUUGGCCCCUGGCAUGGGGUGAGCAUAGUUUUGGCUUUUUCACAGUGUGGGCCUGUUUAACAUUGUCAAUGCAGCACUCCCUGAACCCAUGGGAUCCUCUCACUCCUACUCUGGCAUACCAAGGCAUCAAAUGCACCAUGUCAAGACCAAACUGCUCUGCUGACCCUCUCCCAUCCAAGGAGGAGUGUCCAUCCAUGUUUACCACUGAAUCAUCUUGUAAGUAAUUUGUUUAGUCUGCCCAAAAGUGUCCCAUGUAUUAGCCUAUUCCUGUCUGACUUUUUCCAAGAAAACCUGCAUGCAGACAUGCAAGUCUGUGGAGCAAUUGUGGAUCAAAAUGUAUAAUUUCCAUCACAAUGGUCUGACUAUAGAGGACCUCCCUCUCUUUAAUACUGCAAACCGUGUCUUACGGAUGUGGUGGAAAAACAUUCUAAGCAGUAGCCAGCAGGGUAUGAAGUGCAUUCUGGCUAUAGAUAUUACUUUUCUAGUUUUUCUGUGCUGCCAGAGGCCCUGCAUGGAGAAAGCUUUAAGGGAGCAGAGGCAAACAGAGAGAAGGUGCUGAGAUGAAGGAAAUUAUGGGGGACAUAGGGACAUAUAGGGAAGCAUUUAUCUUUACUGUAGGUAUCCCACCAGUUAUCAGACUGCAUCAGGUAAAAGAUGUGCAGGUAAGCUUUAAUUUAGUUUCAGCCACUGAUUUUUUUUUUUUAAUCACCAUGAGCUUGUAAUAAGUUAAUUAAAAAUCUCAGUAAAGUAUUCAACAGUCCUCCACUGGGAAGGUAUGCCUGAACUUAGCUGUGUCCACUUGGCCCCCUGAAUUCCUGUUCUGCAUAUGCAUUUCACAUUGAGGAUGCUGCCACUCUUUUUCUGUCUUGCUCCAGUCUCAGAAAUCACAGAUAUCCAUCUCUGGCAAUCCUUCCUUUGGGAAGUGUUUUUUUUCCCUUUUGGACAAAAGUCUGGAGAAAAGAGAAGUGACAAAAGCUAUAUAUGCAAAACCUAAGAGAACUGGGGAGGCAGUGAGGAGGGCAGUGACAGAUGAGGAAUAGGAGGAUAACACCAUAAGCAAUCCUGUCGCCCUUUCCUGUGGGGUAAGAAGGUCAAGCUUCCUCAGCAUACAGCUGAAUACUAGUUAUAACUGUCAAGUUUGUAUUGAACCUACCACCUGAUUUUUCCCUGUAGUAAAUUACUGUGGAAGGCAACAGUAUUUCUGCCUUUGUUGCAGCAUCAUGGCUAUCAGAUACAGAAGAGACAGAAGGGUUGCCUUGAUAAAGGCCUUUCCCUUGAUGCAGUGAUUUAUGAGCAGUGCUGGCUUUCCAGGCCCUGCUGUAGCAGAUACUGCCUGGUCUCAGUCUCCCCUGGCCUGGAACAGAGGUGUGAAUAUCAUUGUGGACAAACAGGGGCUUCCUGAGCCAGUUUAACUCCAUAAAUCAUCUGUGAUGUGUUGCAGUAGACAACAGCGGGCAGUCCAAGCUGACCAAGUCCAAGCAUGGAGGAUGUUAAACUGCUGGAGACUGGGAAUGGUCAGGUGACCUGGGGUGACAGCUUUGGUGUAUGACUGGUGUACAGCAGUAAUACUUUACAGACAGGUGCCUUUAUUUUUCUUUCUUUUUUGAUCACUUGCUAACUAAUCUUGCUCCACACUAAUGGGCAAUAAUGCACCGUUUGUGGAGAUGAACUGCUAAUGAACUAGACUGAAGGAUUUGUACAGACCAUAACUUUGCCAUAUGUCUUGUGCUCUUUGCCUUCUUCACCACCACAUCCUUUAGUGAUUGUAACCUUUUUCAUAUUAGUUUCUAGCCCUUUUUUUUUUUUUUUCUUUUACUGUAUAAUUCCAAUUAGAUUAGUCUCAUCCUGCAGGUGCAAUUCAACACUCAUAAAAAUCUCAAUAUCCUAGCAGUCCCAAAAUUCAAUGGCAUUCUUCACUAGGGUUCUGGUGUUGGGGAGCAGUGAUGCACCAAAACUUUGCAAAAUGUUCUAGCUGCCACGGAAUGCUGAAAUGUGGCGUGAGUGACAAUCCCCCUCUGUUUAUAUCUGUCAAAAUGUUGGGAGGAAAACAAGAAAAAUCUGGGCCCCAGGUAGAAACCUGAGCCUGUUGAGAAAUUAAUGAACUCUCACAGUUUGGAGACUUGCAGAUGCUGUUCUGUUGGGACCAUGCCGAGGUUGCCAUUAAAUCCCUUUGGAUAAGACCCAGUAAACAUCUGGUGACUUUUUUUUUUUAAAUAAAAGAACUGUAGUUGUUCUAGGCCUUGUUGUCUGCCCACGCUGGUAAUGUGCCUGUGAGUCUAAUUAGUUGACAAGUGACAAAAGAGGCCACUGUAGUGAAGGGGAGGCUGGGUGCCAGGAUUGUUAGAUAGGUUGGGCAAGAGCCACAAGAGCCAGCAGGUGAUGGAUGCAGGAAAGGUGUAUUAUCCCCUGAUUUGUUACAGAUGCAGGGACAUGAGGAAACGAGGCAAAUUGAUAAGCCAAAGGCUCAGCCUUUUGCUAUUCCUCUUAUGUAAAGUUGGAUCUGCAGUCGUCUGUGAGUAGGGUGGUUGGGUCCUGUAAUGGCUGGUCAGUGCUAAAAGAGCCCUGACCUUCUGGCUCUAUUAAGUACCUUUCAAUGCUUGUAGAAAUAAGAUGGAGGGGACUUGCACUUGAGUCUAGCAUGAGCAAGAUUAGUUAAAACUGAUGUACACUGAAGUAGCUGUAUUCUUGUUUGCUGUCAGUGGUAAAAUCCCCACUCACUGUCAGCAAAAGCUGAAUUCAUUCAAGGCAGAAGAGAGUCCCAUCUGCUCUUAUAAGUGAGUCUGUGGGACAGGACCAUUAGUUGGGCACUGUGAAAUCUGACUACCUGCUUUGCUUGUGCCUUCACCUGGAAUUGUUGCUAAUUGCUAAAUCGAUACAUUUAUCAUAUUUAUUGUUAUUAUCUAUAUAUGUGGAUAAAAUAUAUUAAAGAUUUUGCCUUUCCAGAUCUGGGGUGGACUGUUUCACCUGGUAACUAGCACCUUAUCAGUGUGAGGACUACAUUCUGACUAUCUGCACCAAAACUGGACUGGCAGUGCAGGGAUGCCCAGUGUUUGUGAAACUGUAGUCUCAGGUACCAUGUGCAAUUACUUCUGAGUCUGCUAGUCCCCGUGUUUUGGCUUUUUCAGUACUGCACCUAUGGCUGGGCUGAACUCCUAUUUGUUCCUUAGCUGGACACAUAUGGAUCUGGAAAAGUAUUUUUAAGUGUUUAAGCACUGCUUAGCACAUUACUCUAGCUUUUUUCCAAGGAAUUAGAUCCUCUUCAUUUGUCUUGGCUCCUCAAACAGUUCCCAUCAAAGGGGGAACAAGAUGAGUCAUAGGGACAGAGUAGUGGUGUGUUAUGGGAAUAUCUCUUGGUCUAUGUUUGCCAUCACCCAUGCUGAGAUUGCAAUACUUUUUCCAGGUGUUCUGGAGGAUUUGGGGGUCUCACAUCUGUUAGUGUCAUGCCUACACCAACAUCUGUCCCACCACUGCUAAACUUGCCAGACCGUGCUGCUGGAAGUGGAUUUGAUUUGUGCUGAAGUCACCUUGAAUCACAAUUACCAAUGGGAAGGAGUGGAUGCAUGUGAACAGUCAAGGAUAAAAUCGUGUAAAGGAGAUCACCAGAAGUGAAAGCAAGAUCACCAAAAUGUCUGCCAGCAAAUUCAAAGUCAUUAGCUAUGUUUAUUUCCCCAUAGAGCCAAUAUUCUCUUCCAUCUCCCCAUUGCUCCAUAGGGAGGAUGUGUCAUGGACAGUAAGGAAAACCCUACCAGGGACACCCACCCUAGAUAUUCCACUACCUCCCUCUUCUCCUGUAAAUCAGAAAUAACUCCUGUAGAUCAGAAAUAGUAAUAUACUAUUCAUAUAUAAUAAUAUAUCAUUAUAAAAUAAUAUAUUUCUGAUAUUUUUAUCAGAAAUAAAAAUCAAAAAGAACUCUCCAGGGUAGAAUUUUGUAAAUGAAAAAAGGAAAGGUUUCGCACUCAUUUUCUUCUGUCCAGGGCCCCAUGAAAUUAAUUUUUUUGUGUUUAGAUUGUGGCUAACCUUAAAACUGUGUUCAGUAUUAUAAAAUGUAUAAUAUAUAUUUCAAAAAUUGUAAUAUAUUACUUAUAAUAUGUAAAGAUAUCUAUAAUAUAUAUUUAUGUAUGCAAAUAUAUAUAUA